CUUUCACUCUAACCCUGAUUUGAUUUCUCCCGUUAUUGACUCUACAAUCUGCAAAAUGCGUCGUAGUUCAUCUGUUUAUCUCCGUGAAUUCAUUUUCAGACGCCCGUUUGGAAGAUCUUCAAACCCCAAUUCUCCAUUUCAAUCGGGUUCUCUCACAGCUCUCACAAAUCAAUGCUCCUUCUUGCUCUAUUUCUAACAGACCCACCAAAAACUAGCCGAAGAUUUCCAAGAUUCUGGGCAAUGCAGUGUUGCGACUGAUGGUGAAGUGGAUAACAUUAACCUCAAGUUUUCCGAAGCUAUGGUGGAUAUAGAAUCGGCCGUGGAGUUUGAGGGCUCCGAAGAGCGAGAGGGCGGCGAUACAGAGGGCUAUGGGUCUCAAGAGUUAGCAGUUGAAGGCUGAGGUUGACAGUUGAAUGAGUAACUUCCCAACGAAGAUUACUUCAAAGAAGCUUCUAUUUCAAUCUUUACCAUUGUCACAAAGGGCCAUCCUUGAGAAAUGAAGUUUAACUAGCCAAAGGAUCUUCACAUAUAAUGCUCCCACACAUUCUCUAUCAAAUAUUCAGACAAGCGAACUCCACUUAUUUGCAGAAGACUUCAUCACGAAGAUUAGAAUAAGGAAGCUUCUAUGCGGUGUGUAUCAUGUCACAAGCUUUAACCAGAGAUUAAUAAGUCACGUCAACGCCGUAGACCAUAAUUUAAACCUUCGACAGCAGGAACCGACUGUUCAAAUACUUGCAGAGCAGUUGUAGUAAGAGCAGAAUGGGAGGCAGGAAAAUGAGAAAUAACAGCAGAACAUGGAACUUGUGAUAUCCCAGAAGAUUUACUUUGUUCUCUGGAAUCAGAUCCAAAGCAGAAAGGGACAAAGUUUGAGAUAUUGUGAGUGCGUCAGAAUCAUCUCUUUGACUGUCCCUAACCCCAUGUGUGGAAUGCAGGAACGUUUUAUCCAUUGCCAGGUUCAGGGAUUUCAUCCAGUUUCUUUGAUGAUUUUCUGUCUUAGAUGUGUAGGAUUUAGAGAUGAUGAUGCACUUUGUCGGAGACAUCUUAGCUCUUUAGUUUUCAUUGGGUUUGAUGUAGUUUCCAUCUCUCAAUGUGUAGUAUUUAGAUGCAUGUGUGUUGUAAGAGAUAUAAACAUCAACUCUCGUGAGGACUUCAUUUUAUGAACGUCACAAUUCAUCU